rnacentral:tRNA from 1 species
AGGUGGCUAGUCUAAGAAAAACACUUGAUUUCGGCUCAAGAAUUUGUGGUUAGAGUCCAUAGCUGCCUA